AUGGCGAAGAAGGCCGCGGUUAUCGCCACGCUGCUGGCCCUGAACCUGCUCCUCUUCACCUUCGCCGACGCCUGCGGCUGCCACUGCGGAUCCUGCCCUAGCCCCGGCGGAGGGGGCGGCGGUGGGGGUGGCGGUGGAGGUGGGAGCGGUGGCGGUGGUGGUGGGAGCGGUGGCAGUGGAGGGAGCGGUGGAGGCGGUUCUGGAGGAGGCGGCAGCAGCGGAGGCGGAUCUGGAGGAGGCGGCAGCGGCGGAGGCGGAUCAGGAGGAGGUGGCAGCAGCGGCGGCGGGUCCGGCGGUGGCGGAUCGGGAGGAGGCGGAUCAGGCGGGCGCGCGCGGUGCCCCAUCGACGCGCUGAAGCUGGGCGUGUGCGCCAACGUGCUCAACGGGCUGAUCAACCUGCAGCUGGGGACGCCGCCGAAGCAGCCGUGCUGCUCGCUGAUCCAGGGCCUCGCCGACCUGGAGGCGGCGGUGUGCCUCUGCACGGCGCUCAAGGCCAACAUCCUGGGCAUCAACCUCAACGUGCCCAUCGACCUCAGCCUCCUCGUCAACUACUGCGGCAAGAACGUCCCCUCCGGCUUCCAGUGCCCCCGCUAG
rnacentral:rRNA from 1 species